GGUUAUCAGUCGAUAAUUGCGUUAAUAGAUGAUCGAAAAUCUCUACGAAACUCUUACUUAUCCAGUCUUCUAUUGAUUAAGAUUCCGAUCCAUGCCAUAAAAUUCAUCAAUCCAUUGGAUCUUUGCAUGAUGGCUUCUAAGAUGCAUUUAGUGGGAUUCUAUAACUUCUGGAAUGAGUCUUUACAAAUAAAAGAU